rnacentral:rRNA from 1 species
UUUAAGAUAGAAUCAAAUUGAGGAUAAGCCGAAUAAUGCUUAGAGUAGGGAUUAAAUCCUUAGAUACUAGGUGGAAUACUAAUGGUGAAAGCUUUUUAUCUAAUAAUGAUCGACGCUGAGGAACGAAGGUGAGAAUAGAAAAUAGGAUUAGAGACCCAGAUAUCUCUCACUGUCAACGAUGAAUGGUGGAAAGUUAGUUUU